rnacentral:lncRNA from 1 species
CUCAAAUUCGGCUUGAAAUUAAUUUCGAGCCUAAAUUUAAGCUCAAGCUUGGUUUGAAAUUAAUUCAAGCCGAGCUCGAGCGAGCCAAAUUUCUAGUCGAGCGAGCUCGAGCCCUAAAUGAGCCGCUUGAAAUUCUCAACAUCAUCAUACGAUCAAUAGUUUAAUUUGUAUAAAAUAUAAUCUAUAAUUUGAUACAAAAAUAUGUCUAAUAGUUCAAAUUGCAAAAUAAUUAUAUGAAAUAUGGUAUUAUAAUAUGAAGAAAAAUAAUUUAUGAGUUGAAUAUCUAAUAUUUUCAGCCUCACAUGUCUUCUCUUCUGUCUUCAAUCUCCAUAUUAUUCAUUUUCAUUUAUACGGUCAAAAAUAAAUAAAUUAUAUAGAUAAAUAUUAGAUUAAACUAUUCAAUUAUAUGUAACUAAAAUUAAAAUUUUAUACAAAUAAUAAUUUUUUUACUUUAAAAAUAUUCUGUAUAUUUUUUCAAGCAUACAAUUAAUAGCAAAGUAA